UACGUAGGGUGCGAGCGUUAAUCGGAAUUACUGGGCGUAAAGCGUGCGUAGGCGGCUAUGCAAGACAGAUGUGAAAUCCCCGGGCUUAACCUGGGAACUGCAUUUGUGACUGCAUGGCUAGAGUACGGUAGAGGGGGAUGGAAUCCGCGUGUAGCAGUGAAAUGCGUAGAUAUGCGGAGGAACACCGAUGGCGAAGGCAAUCCCCUGGACCUGUACUGACGCUCAGGCACGAAAGCGUGGGGAGCAAACAGG
rnacentral:rRNA from 1 species